rnacentral:lncRNA from 1 species
CGUUUGUCUUCUUCAUUGCCUCGUUCUUCUUCCUUGCGGGAUUUCAGGCAAGAUGACCAUACCCUCGAAAUCACUUCUAUCUUUGCUUGCUAGUUGCUCGCUCUUUUGCUAUACCUAUGCUGCGAUACCUACCACUUGCUUAUCAUGCCUCCCAUAUUGUUAAGCCAAGCCUCUAACCCACCUUGUCCUAGCAAACCGUUGUUUGGCUAUGUUACCGCUUUGCUCAGCCCCUCUUAUAGCGUUGCUAGUUGCAGGUGAAGAUUGGAGUUUGUUCCUUGUUGGAAUAUAGAUAUCUUGUUGGGAUAUCACAAUAUCUCUUAUCUAAUUAAUGCAUCUAUAUACUUGGUAAAGGGUGGAAGGCUCGGCCUUAUGCCUGGUGUUUUGUUCCACUCUUGUCGCCCUAGUUUCCGUCAUAUCCGUGUUAUGUUCCUGGAUUUUGUGUUCCUUACGCGGUUGGGUUAUAAUGGGAACCCCUUGACAGUUCGCCUUGAAUAAAACUCCUCCAGGAAGGCCCAACCUUGGUUUUACCAUUCACCACCUAGCCUUUUUCCCUUGGGUUAGUCCAGCCCAAGGGUCAUCUUUAUUUUAACCCCCCGGGCCAGUGCUUGUCUAAGUGUUGGUCCGAAACAGAGCCACUUGCGGCGCCACCUCGGGGAAACUUGAGGGCUAGUUUUAGCUAUACGUAGUGUUCAUCCGAUGUUGCCCUGAGAACGAGAUAUGUGCAGCUCCCAUCAGGAUGUCGGCGCAUCGGGCGGUCUUGCUGGACUUGUUUUACCAUUGCCGAGGAUGUCUUGUAACCGGGAUUUCGAGUCUGAUCGGGUCUUCCCGCUAGAAGGAAUAUCCUUCGUUGACCGUGAGAUCUUGUGAUGGGCUAAGUUGGGACACCCCUACAGGGUUUUGAACUUUCAAAAGCCGUGCCCGCGGUUAUGGGCAGAUGGGAAUUUGUUAAUGUCCGAUUGUAGAAAACCUGAAGUUGACCUUAAUUAAAAUGCAUCAACCGCGUGUGUAACCGUGAUGGUCUCUUUCCGGCGGAGUCCGGGAAGUGAACACAGUGUUGGAGUUAUGCUUGACGUAGGUUGUUUUAGGAUCACUUCUUGAUCAUAGUUUCACGAUCGUGCUUUGCCUCCUCUUCUCGCUCUCUUUUGCGAAUAGGUUAGCCACCAGAUAUGCUAGUCGCUUGCUGUAGCUCCACCUCAUACCUUUUACCUUACCCAUAAGCUUAAAUAGUCUUGAUCGCGAGGGUGCGAGAUUGCUGAGUCCCCGUGGCUCACAGAUACUUCCAAAACCAGCUUGCAGGUGCCGAUGAGUCUGUGCAGAUGACGCAACCAAGCUCAGGAGGAGCUUGAUGAGUCUGUGCAGAUUGCUGAGUCCCUUUGUGUUGUUUCGUUCUAGUUGAUCAGUAGUGGAGCCCAGUUGGGGUUGAUCGGGGACCCUGUCGCUUUUGGGGUUCUUCUUUUAUUUUGGUUCCGUAGUCGGACCUUGAUUGUAUUUGGAUGAUGUAAUGCUUUAUUCAUGUAUUGUGUGAAGUGGCGAUUGUAAGCCGACUAUGUAUCUCUUUCC